AGUUCGGCAUCAAUACGGUGACCUCCAGGGAGCCAGGGGCCACCAGGUUGCCAAGGAGGGGAGAAGCGGCCCAGGUCGGAAACGGAACAGGUCAAAACUCCGUGCUGAUCAG
rnacentral:SRP_RNA from 1 species